GUCACUUUAGCUUAAUGGCAGAACGUCUGCUUUGAGAGCAGAAGGUCGUCAGUUCGAUCCUGGUAAGUGGCU
rfam:Perkinsus marinus ATCC 50983 gcontig_1104296615538, whole genome shotgun sequence.